AAAUUUGAACAUCGAAUAUUCAGAUAAUAUAUAUUUAAGUCAUUGUGAUACCUACUUGGUUGUUGCCAAAUUCCACUUGCCAACAGUUGUUGACCUCGUUAUUCUCCAGCUACCAAGGCCCAACAUUUUUCAUAGUUCCCGGGGACACUGCAUGGAAGGUUAGGUAUGACCGUCAGCUGAUCCGAAGAUUGAUAGUGAGAGAACAUAAACUCAAUGCCCCACUCCACUCCUUCCAAGCUCCACAUUUUCUGCAUAUUUUCAGGUUGUCCAAACCACCCCCCCCCCCCACAUUACCCCAUGUCUCUCGCACCCCUCAUGUUCCGAUCUCUGCUGCGGCUGUUGACAUCGUUGAUUUCGGAGCCGGCGGCCUCGGUCACGACUUUGCUAUAUUACAGUGACCAUCUGCCUCAGAACAUCAUAUGGGAAAGGCUGGUUCGACGUGACAUGUUAGACCAGGAAAAUUACUUGUUCCAUUUACUCAUCAACUUCUUGAGAUGUUUUUGCUAGGACUAUUACCAAAAACUACUAGUAAGUGUUCAUUUCGGUGGUCAAGUAAUUUUAUUUCUAUUUGCAAAAGAUAAUUUAAAUUGGAUUGGAUUCAGACAUCUCGACGCAAUUUUUAUUGUCAAUGAAGAAGAAAUACUGAUGUGUUGCGUUUAA